GCUAUCAAUAAGCGGAGGAAAAGAAAAUAACAAUGAUUUCCCUAGUAACGGCGAGUGAAGAGGAAAGAGCUCAAAGUUGGAAACUGUUUGGCUUAGCUAAACCGUAUUGUAAACUGUAGAAACAUUUUCCUGGCACGCCGGAUUAAUAAGUCCUUUGGAACAAGGCAUCAUGGAGGGUGAGAAUCCCGUCUUUGAUCCGAGUAGUUGUCUUUUGUGAUAUGUUUUCAAAGAGUCAGGUUGUUUGGGAAUGCAGCCUAAAUUGGGUGGUAAAUCUCACCUAAAGCUAAAUAUUUGCGAGAGACCGAUAGCGAACAAGUACCGUGAGGGAAAGAUGAAAAGAACUUUGAAAAGAGAGUUAAACAGUAUGUGAAAUUGUUAAAAGGGAACCGUUUGGAGCCAGACUGGUUUGACUGUAAUCAACCUAGAAUUCGUUCUGGGUGCACUUGCAGUCUAUACCUGCCAACAACAGUUUGAUUUGGAGGAAAAAAUUAGUAGGAAUGUAGCCUCUCGAGGUGUUAUAGCCUACUAUCAUACUCUGGAUUGGACUGAGGAACGCAGCGAAUGCCAUUAGGCGAGAUUGCUGGGUGCUUUCGCUAAUAAAUGUUAGAAUUUCUGCUUCGGGUGGUGCUAAUGUUUAAAGGAGGAACACAUCUAGUAUAUUUUUUAUUCGCUUAGGUUGUUGGCUUAAUGACUCUAAAUGACCCGUCUUGAAACACGGACCAAGGAGUCCACCAUAAGUGCAAGUAUUUGAGUGACAAACUCAUAUGCGUAAGGAAACUGAUUGAUACGAAAUCUUUUGAUGGCAGUAUCACCCGGCGUUGACGUUUUAUACUGAACUGACCGAGGUAAAGCACUUAUGAUGGGACCCGAAAGAUGGUGAACUAUGCCUGAAUAGGGUGAAGCCAGAGGAAACUCUGGUGGAGGCUCGUAGCGAUUCUGACGUGCAAAUCGAUCGUCAAAUUUGGGUAUAGGGGCGAAAGACUAAUCGAACCAUCUAGUAGCUGGUCUGC
rnacentral:rRNA from 1 species